rnacentral:rRNA from 1 species
GCCACCAUUUAAAGAGUGCGUAAUAGCUCACUGGUCGAGAGACCCUGCGCCGAAGAUUACCGGGGCUAAAGUACGGAACCGAAGCUGUGGCUGUGUACGAAAGUACACGGGGUAGGGGAGCGUUCCCAUAGGGCUGAAGUCGUUCUGUAAGGAACGGUGGACUUAUGGGAAGUGAGAAUGUUGGUAUGAGUAGCGAAAAGAAAGGUGAGAAUCCUUUCCACCGAAAGCAUAAGGAUUCCUGGGCAACGAUCGUCGUCCCAGGGUAAGUCGGGACCUAAUCCGAGGCAAAGAGCGUAGGAGAUGGACAACUGGUUGAUAUUCCAGUACCGGCAGUGAUCGUUUGAGCGAUGGAGUGACACAGGAGGGUAGGCAGGCAGGAGAUUGGUUGUUCCUGUACAAGCGUGUAGGAUGGGUUAUAGGCAAAUCCGUAACCUGAAAGUCCGAGGCGUGAUGUGUAGUUUCCGCAUGGAGACGAAGCUGUUGACCCCACACUGUCGAGAAAAGCUUCUAGUGAGAGAUCUGCCGCCCGUACCGUAAACCGACACAGGUAUGCGGGGAGAGAAUCCUAAGGUGCGCGGGAGAACCCUCGUUAAGGAACUCGGCAAAAUGUACCCGUAACUUCGGGAUAAGGGUAGCCGCCAGUGUGAAGGAACUUGCUUCCGGAGCAUAGCGCGGUCGCAGAGAAGAGGCCCAAGCGACUGUUUACCACAAACUUAGGUGCCUGCUAAAGAGAAAUCUGACGUAUAGGUGCUGACACCUGCCCAGUGCCGGAAGGUUAAGGAAGGAUGUCCGGAGCAAUCCAAAGCAUUCGACCGAAGCCCCGGUGAACGGCGGCCGUAACUAUAACGGUCCUAAGGUAGCGAAAUUCCUUGUCGGGUAAGUUCCGACCCGCACGAAAGGUGUAACGAUUUGGGCACUGUCUCAACGAGGGACCCGGUGAAAUUGAAGUACCUGUGAAGAUGCAGGUUACCCGCGACUGGACAGAAAGACCCCAUGGAGCUUUACUGUAACCUGACAUUGGGUUCUGAUACAUCACGUACAGGAUAGGUGGGAGGCUUGGAAGCCGGGACGCUAGUCUCGGUGGAGCCGCCGUUGGGAUACCACCCUUGAUGUAUCGGAAUUCUAACCGUAGUAGUAACGACACUCGGGACAGUGUCAGGCGGGCAGUUUGACUGGGGCGGUCGCC